GCGCCCUCCCCGUGAGGCUGUUGGGCUCACCCGAGGACCAAGGGAGUUACCGCGACAUUCUGUCCACCUAAACCCUGGCGGGCCUGUGGUCCCGAGGACAGCGGCCCUCCCCUCCUGCCUCCAGGAGGUUUCACAGUGGUGGCCGGUGGCAAGCCGGGAUGUGUCCUCAGUGUCAGGUGGCCUCUUAGAUGCCAUUGAAUCCCAAUUGACCUGACAGAUGUUGGGGGCCCGACCGCCAGCUGGUGCUUGGAUACAUCUCCACCCCAGGGCACUCACUAGUCGGUGCCAGAACUCCAGGGAUUCUCUGGAGCUCAUGUGCAACAGAGGGCCUGAGGGUGCUUCCCAGAAGGACUGAGGAAGGACGGGCCUUCCCCAUGGCCCUGGCCGCCCUGGCCGCCCCGGCCUUCUGCUGUGAACAGACGCAAGGCUGUCCAGGAAUCUUCCCGGGCUUCAGCACCAGCUGGGACCGCCGAGGUAACGCCUUGUGGAUCAUGGCUGUCACUGCGCUGCUGCUCAGCCCAUCUCGCACCCCAGGCUAAUAAGGGCCCCUGUGAUCUACGCUCACUGUGUGCACUGUGCUGUUGUAAGGAGCAGCGCUGUGGAAGGACAGCCCAGCACUGGGCUCCUGCACUCCCGGGUGGACACGGCCCCAAGUUAGGCUGCAGGCAGCAGGAGAAACCAAGCUGAAAUUGGACAUCUUGGACCCAGAAAAAUCAGUCAGAGGACAAUGGUUUCUGUCUUUUCAUUUUUAGAGACAAGACCUUGAUGUGUAGCCUGGGCAAGCCUGGAGCUCAACAUGCUGACCAGGCCGCCUCAGGUUCACACAGAUCCUGUCUUUGCCUCCCUGUUGCAAACAAGUCGUGCACCGCUAUGCUCUGCUUGGAUUGGUGUUUUGUUCUGAGGCAGGGUCUCAGUCUGCCUCUCUCUAGCACAGGCUAGGCUGACACUCAUUCUGUAGGACAGAUGGACCUGGGAUUGCAGACAGGAGCUACCACACCCAGCUCACACAGAGCUGGGAUAUGAACCCCAGGUCCAGGGACCAACCUGACCUCCCCGCCCAUCCACUUGAGGGAAGCAGAGAGGGCAGCUAUCUCACUUCCUGCCCCCACCCCACCCGAGGUUAAAGAGAAUGGCAUUCCCUGUUCACAGACCUGACUGUGAUAAGCCAGGUAGGUCACUUCCUUCUUUCUCCCUCUGCAGGGACAUGGCAGCCGGGCCUGGUUCUUCUGCCUCCCUCCCUCCCCUCCACCCUGAGAAGGGUUGUGCCACCUGCACACCAGCCCCGGGUGCUUCUCUCCUGUGCUAGGGGAUGGCGAGGGGCAGGAGGACCCUUACCAGAAGG